GACGUAGGGCGCGAGCGUUGUCCGGAUUUAUUGGGCGUAAAGAGCUCGUAGGCGGCUUGUCGCGUCGGCUGUGAAAUCCGUGGCUCAACUGCGGUCUGCAGCCGAUACGGGCAGGCUAGAGUUCGGUAGGGAGACCGGAAUUCUGGUGUAGCGGUGAAAUGACGCAGACUAUCAGGAGGAACACCGGUGGCGAAGGCGGAUCUCUGGGCCUACCUGA
rnacentral:rRNA from 1 species